GGCAGGUGAAGUGAUCGGAGAAGUAGGUGAGGUCAGAGAGGGUGGGAAUGCCCACCGCCACGUACUUCCCGUUGGAUUUUCGGACAGAGAAGCUGGCAGGAUUCAGGUGCAGGUAGACGUCAGAGUUGUAGUCCUUCCGGAUGCAGCGGCCGUUACCCUGGCAGAGUGACUCGCUGCAGAGCCUGGAAGCUGCCGUCACAUUGG